rnacentral:rRNA from 1 species
UACAGAGGGUGCGAGCGUUAAUCGGAAUUACUGGGCGUAAAGGGUGCGUAGGUGGUUUUGUAAGUUAGAUGUGAAAUUCCUGGGCUUAACCUGGGGACUGCGUCUGAUGCUGCGAAGCUAGAGUACUGUAGAGGGAAGUGGAAUUUCCGGUGUAGCAGUGAAAUGCGUAGAUAUCGGAAGGAACAUCAGUGGCGAAGGCGACUUCCUGGACAGAUACUGACACUGAGGCACGAAAGCGUGGGGAGCAAACAGG